rnacentral:rRNA from 1 species
AACACGUGGCUAACUUACCCAUAGGACGGGAACAACCCCGGGAAACUGGGGCUAAUACCCGAUAGAUGAGGAGGCCUGGAAUGGUUCCUAGUCGAAAAGGCGUUGAAACCAUGCUUUUCGACGUCGCCUAAGGAUGGGGCCGCGCCCGAUCAGGUUGUUGGUGGGGUAACGGCUCACCAAGCCUAUAACCGGUACGGGCCGUGAGAGCGGGAGCCCGGAGAUGGGCACUGAGACAAGGGCCCAGGCCCUACGGGGCGCAGCAGUCGCGAAAACUCCGCAAUGCGCGAAAGCGUGACGGGGCUACCCCGAGUGCCGUCCGCUGAGGAUGGCUUUUCCCCGGUGUAAUGAGCCGGGGGAAUAAGGAGAGGGCAAGUCUGGUGUCAGCCGCCGCGGUAAUACCAGCUCUCCGAGUGGUAGGGAUGAUUAUUGGGCUUAAAGCGUCCGUAGCCGGCUUAGCAAGUCUCCUGUUAAAUUCAGCGACCUAAUCGUUGAGCCGCGGGAGACACUAUUAGGCUAGGAGGCGGGAGAGGCCGACGGUAUUCUCGGGGUAGGGGUAAAAUCCUAUAAUCCCGGGAGGACCACCAGUGGCGAAGGCUGUCGGCUAGAACGCGCUCGACGGUGAGGGACGAAAGCUGGGGGAGCGAACCGGAUUAGAUACCCGGGUAGUCCCAGCUGUAAACGAUGCGGGCUAGGUGUUGGGGUGGCUACGAGCCACUUCAGUGCCGCAG